rnacentral:rRNA from 1 species
GAUGAACGCUGGCGGCGUGCCUAAUACAUGCAAGUAGAACGCUGAAGCUUGGUGCUUGCACCGAGCGGAUGAGUUGCGAACGGGUGAGUAACGCGUAGGUAACCUGCCUCUUAGCGGGGGAUAACUAUUGGAAACGAUAGCUAAUACCGCAUAAAAGUCGAUAUCGCAUGAUAUUGAUUUGAAAGGUGCAAUUGCAUCACUAAGAGAUGGACCUGCGUUGUAUUAGCUAGUUGAUGAGGUAAUGGCUCACCAAGGCAACGAUACAUAGCCGACCUGAGAGGGUGAUCGGCCACACUGGGACUGAGACACGGCCCAGACUCCUACGGGAGGCAGCAGUAGGGAAUCUUCGGCAAUGGGGGCAACCCUGACCGAGCAACGCCGCGUGAGUGAAGAAGGUUUUCGGAUCGUAAAGCUCUGUUGUAAGAGAAGAACGAGUGUGAGAGUGGAAAGUUCACACUGUGACGGUAACUUACCAGAAAGGGACGGCUAACUACGUG